GACGAACGCUGGCGGCGUGCCUAACACAUGCAAGUCGAACGAGUGGCGGACGGGUGAGUAAUGUCUGGGAAACUGCCUGAUGGAGGGGGAUAACUACUGGAAACGGUAGCUAAUACCGCAUACAAUCAGAUGUGCCCAGAUGGGAUUAGCUUGUUGGCGGGGUAACGGCUCACCAAGGCGACGAUCCCUAGCUGGUCUGAGAGGAUGACCAGCCAACCUGGAACUGAGACACGGUCCAGGUUCCUACGGGAGGCAGCAGUGGGUGUUAUUGCACAAUGGGCGAAAUCCUGAUGCAGACAUGCCGCGUGGAUGAAGAAGGCCUUCGGGUUGUAAAGUACUUUCAGCGGGGAGGCGUUACCCGCAGAAGAAGCACCGGCUAACUCCGUGCCAGCAGCCGCGGUAAUUC
rnacentral:rRNA from 1 species